rnacentral:rRNA from 1 species
CUCGGCGGCCAUAGCGAGGGGGUUCACACCUCUUCCCAUUCCGAACAGAGAAGUUAAGCCCCUCAGCGCCGAUGGUACUUGGCCCGCAAGGGCCUGGGAGAGUAGGUCGCCGCCGGUU